GCUGUGACGCUCACUCCAGGUUUUUAGCGCCCUAUCCCCUAGGGCUCAUCUAAGACCUAAGAUGGCGGCGUUUGUACCGAGGGAAAGUCCCGACCAAGUACUGGGUGUGGAAAGCAGCUAAUGGACAAAUCUAUUAAGGAAGGUCUCAGAUGAGGACUUCUGGGCAUACAUUUAUUCUGGAAGCACAUUGUUCUGUUCAGAAGUAGGGGUGUGUGUGUGUGUGUGUGUGUGUGUGUGUGUGUGUACAGAGAUGUAUCUAGAAAGAAGUUGCUACAGCCUGGCCCCUGUCAGAGAGGUUACUGUUUGUAUACUCCUCUAGGACUUUGAUGGUUUCCUCUCCCACACAAAGUAGGCUCAGGCUACAUGCCCAGCGUGGAGUCCAACAUGGGGCUUGAACUCACGACCCUGACAUCAAGAACUGAGAUGAGAUCAAGAGUUGGAUGCCUAACCACCUGAAUCACCCAGGUGCCCCUAAGCCUUCAUAUUAAAUGCAAGUACGAUAUCAUCUUAAUGUCUGGAACUCAACUGUUUAGCCAGUGAACAUGUUUUGAACACAGCUCAGGAGUAGAAUGAAAAGUAUUUUGAAUAUCUAAAAGAGGUACAGCAGUGUCUGUACUAGAACUUACGUUGAAUUCAUUUCAGUGUAUCUCUCACUUGAAUAAGUACAUAAUUCUAAUAAGUCUGGUUUCCAAGUCUAUGACAGAUUUAGAAGGUAGAAGAGGAGUGAUAGCAUGAUAUAUUGAUCGUUACUACAAAUGCAGCUCAUAACCUGACUGCAGGUGAGGAGACAAACAUAUAAAAUAGAGUAGUCCGGGACAACUAGUAGAGGGCAUCCAGAAAAGGUGAAGUUAUAUUCUCUGUUUGUCAGGCAGAAAUGUAUGUUAUACAUUUUAGGAUUCUCUUCUAAAGUUAAAAAAAAGUUUGCAUGUGGUGUAAACCCUCAGCUCAUUGGGGAAACUCAGCUAUUUAGAAGACAACAGUUUUUGUAGUUCCUGGGAGGGGUGGAAAAUCCUUAUUGAUUUGGAAAUGAAGUGUGGGUGUGUUGUUUUUUUUUUUUUGGGAUCCCUUGUUUUCUACAAAACAGUAGGCUAAAUGAUAGUGAAGUUUUCAUUGUUUAGAUUGGUAUCAAUAUCAGGGAAAUACCAAUAUCUGUUGGGAAAGGGCAAUAAGCUGAAAUACAGUGGGAGCAGAUCUAGGGGGACAUAUUUUCCUGAGGUGAUGGCCAACAGUAUAAAACAGUUUUCAGUGUGUGGGCUUCUCAGGGGAAUUGCAAAGUGGAAAAAUAUUUUCAGAAUAGUACUAAGUUGUUACUUUCACUUUUACUGUGUUGACAUCUGUACUGAUGGUGUCAAAGCAGCAGAAAAUAAAUCUGUUUCUGCCUGAGUACAGAGGUAGUGGUACCAAACUGUAGCAGUAGUCAUUGUCUUCUUUACCAUGCGCUUGUACUAAAAAAAAAAAAAAAAAAAAAAACCCACAAUUUUUCUUAAAAAAUGUUUUUGAGCAAUAAAUGUUACUAAU